rnacentral:rRNA from 1 species
UACGUAGGGUGCAAGCGUGUCCGGAAUUAUUGGGCGUAAAGAGCUCGUAGGCGGUGUGUCGCGUCUGCUGUGAAAUCUGGAGGCUCAACCUCCAGCCUGCAGUGGGUACGGGCAGACUAGAGUGCGGUAGGGGAGAUUGGAAUUCCUGGUGUAGCGGUGAAAUGCGCAGAUAUCAGGAGGAACACCGGUGGCGAAGGCGGGGUCUCUGGGCCGAUACUGACGCUGAGGAGCGAAAGCGUGGGGAGCGAACAGG